rnacentral:rRNA from 1 species
UGGGGAAUUGUUCGCAAUGGGCGCAAGCCUGACGACGCAACGCCGCGUGAAGGAUGAAGUAUUUCGGUAUGUAAACUUCGAAAGAAUAGGAAGAAUAAAUGACGGUACUAUUUAUAAGGUCCGGCUAACUACGUGCCAGCAGCCGCGGUAAUACGUAGGGACCAAGCGUUGUUCGGAUUUACUGGGCGUAAAGGGCGCGUAGGCGGCAAUUCAAGUCAUCUGUGAAAUCUCCGGGCUUAACUCGGAACGGUCAGAUGAUACUGCUUUGCUAGAGUGCAGAAGGGGCAAUCGGAAUUCUUGGUGUAGCGGUGAAAUGCGUAGAUAUCAAGAGGAACACCUGAGGUGAAGACGGGUUGCUGGGCUGACACUGACGCUGAGGCGCGAAAGCCAGGGGAGCAAACGGGAUUAGAUACCCACGUAGUCCCUGAGCGGGCUGGCAAGGCGCAU